CGGGAGAAGCGGACAGAAGCCCGCUGGAUUGGGUAUUUAACUGUUAAUUAAUUUUUGUGGGAUCAAGGCCCG
rnacentral:tRNA from 1 species